GGCGAGAGAGGACUGCCCAUCGGAACCCCUAUUUUCUGUCGAAACAAAUCACCAUUGAAUUCAAAUUCAUUGUUUUUUAGUAUGAUUCUUAUAAGUUCUAACAUACUUUGUUUAGGCGGAAUUUUUAUUUUGAAAUUGCAUGAUCUAAGCUUAUUCCAAGCUCUAUCAACGGCAUUAACAAUUUCGGAAUGUUCCAUAUUUGUGUACAUACUUGUUACAUCAAAUGAUGCCAUGAUAAAUUCAAACGGAAGCUUAAGUUCUUCUAUUUUAUUUAUAAACGCUGUGCUGUCUUUCGUGUAUGUCCAUUGUUGAAAGACUAUUUCCCUUAAGAAAUAAUCAAUAAAAUGUGCAAUUGUCUCAGUAGGACUGCCUGACAUAGAUAUAAUAGGUCUGCCCGGUAUGUUUAUAUCUUUAAUAAGAUUUUUGUCUUUUUCGAUGUCAUUUAUUUGAUCUAUGCUUAAUUUAUGUGUUUUUGGAAGCAUAUAUAAACGACCUGGUUUGAACUCCUUGCCAGAUGUCAAAUAAUCUAGAGAAUAUUUGUCUAUAUGACCCAUGUUGUGUAGAGGAAUAAUUAUAUCAAUUAUCUUGUUGUAAA
rnacentral:lncRNA from 1 species